rnacentral:rRNA from 1 species
GACGAACGCUGGCGGCGUGCUUAACACAUGCAAGUCGAACGGAAAGGCCCUGCUUUUGUGGGGUGCUCGAGUGGCGAACGGGUGAGUAACACGUGGGUAACCUGCCCUUGACUUUGGGAUAACUUCAGGAAACUGGGGCUAAUACCGGAUAGGAGCUCCUGCUGCAUGGUGGGGGUUGGAAAGUUUCGGCGGUUGGGGAUGGACUCGCGGCUUAUCAGCUUGUUGGUGGGGUAGUGGCUUACCAAGGCUUUGACGGGCAGCCGGCCUGAGAGGGUGACCGGCCACAUUGGGACUGAGAUACGGCCCAGACUCCUACGGGAGGCAGCAGUGGGGAAUAUUGCACAAUGGGCGGAAGCCUGAUGCAGCAACGCCGCGUGCGGGAUGACGGCCUUCGGGUUGUAAACCGCUUUCGCCUGUGACGAAGCGUGAGUGACGGUAAUGGGUAAAGAAGCACCGGCUAACUACGUG